rnacentral:SRP_RNA from 2 species
GCCGGGUGUGGUGGCGGGCGCCUGUAAUCCCAGCUACUUGGGAGGCUGAGGCAGGAGAAUCGCUUGAACCCGGGAGGUGGAGGUUGCAGUGGAACCAGGAUUGAGCCACUGCACUCCAGCCUGGGCAAAAAAGUGAGACUCUGUCUCAA